rnacentral:rRNA from 1 species
AAAAAAGGUAAGCUACUAAGAGCGAAUGGUGGAUGCCUUGACUGGUAAAGGCGAUGAAGGACGUACUAGACUGCGAUAAGCUACGGGGAGCUGUCAAGAAGCUUUGAUCCGUAGAUUUCCGAAUGGGGCAACCCAAUGUAUAGAGAUAUACAUUACCUAUAUAGGAGCGAACGAGGGGAAUUGAAACAUCUUAGUACCCUCAGGAAAAGAAAUCAAUAGAGAUUGCGUCAGUAGCGGCGAGCGAAAGCGCAAGAGGGCAAACCCAGUGCUUGCACUGGGGGUUGUAGGACUGCAAUGUGCAAGAGGUAAGUUUAGCAGAACAUUCUGGAAAGUAUAACCAUAGAGGGUGAUAGUCCCGUAUGCGAAAAACAAACCUUAGCUAGCAGUAUCCUGAGUAGGGCGGGACACGAGGAAUCCUGUCUGAAUCCGGGUCGACCACGAUCCAACCCUAAAUACUAAUACCAGAUCGAUAGUGCACAAGUACCGUGAGGGAAAGGUGAAAAGAACUGAGGUGAUCAGAGUGAAAUAGAACCUGAAACCAUUUGCUUACAAUCAUUCAGAGCACUAUGUAGCAAUACAGUGUGAUGGACUGCCUUUUGCAUAAUGAGCCUGCGAGUUGUGGUGUCUGGCAAGGUUAAGCAAACGCGAAGCCGUAGCGAAAGCGAGUCUGAAUAGGGCGCUUAGUCAGAUGCUGCAGACCCGAAACGAAGUGAUCUAUCCAUGAGCAAGUUGAAGCUAGUGUAAGAACUAGUGGAGGACUGAACCCAUAGGCGUUGAAAAGCCCCGGGAUGACUUGUGGAUAGGGGUGAAAGGCCAAUCAAACUUCGUGAUAGCUGGUUCUCUCCGAAAUAUAUUUAGGUAUAGCGUUGUGUCGUAAUAUAAGGGGGUAGAGCACUGAAUGGGCUAGGGCAUACACCAAUGUACCAAACCCUAUCAAACUCCGAAUACCUUAUAUGUAAUCACAGCAGUCAGGCGGCGAGUGAUAAAAUCCGUCGUCAAGAGGGAAACAACCCAGACUACCAGCUAAGGUCCCUAAAUCUUACUUAAGUGGAAAACGAUGUGAAGUUACUUAAACAACCAGGAGGUUGGCUUAGAAGCAGCCAUCCUUUAAAGAAAGCGUAAUAGCUCACUGGUCUAGUGAUUUUGCGCGGAAAAUA